UACGGAGGGUGCAAGCGUUGUCCGGAAUCACUGGGCGUAAAGGGCGCGUAGGCGGUGAUAUGAGUGUGAUGUGAAAGCCCCGGGCUUAACCUGGGAAGUGCAUCGCAAACGAUAUGACCAGAGUAUAUGAGAGGGUGGCGGAAUUUCCGGUGUAGCGGUGAAAUGCGUAGAGAUCGGAAGGAACGUCAAUGGCGAAGGCAGCCACCUGGCAUCAUACUGACGCUGAGGCGCGAAAGCGUGGGGAGCGAACAGG
rnacentral:rRNA from 1 species